rnacentral:tRNA from 3 species
GGGAGUAGAUGGGUGCUGGUGUGCCCUCUGGUCUUCAAAACCAGUUCGGGGGGUUAAGAGCCUCCUGGGUGGGUUCGAUUCCCACAUAUUCCCGCCA